UAUAAGCAAUCUAUACCGUGAAACUGCGAAUGGCUCAUUAAAUCAGUUAUCGUUUAUUUGAUAGUACCUUACUACUUGGAUAACCGUGGUAAUUCUAGAGCUAAUACAUGCUAAAAACCUCAACUUCGGAAGGGGUGUAUUUAUUAGAUAAAAAACCAAUGCCCUUUGGGGCUCCUUGGUGAUUCAUAAUAACUUAACGAAUCGCAUGGCCUUGUGCCGGCGAUGGUUCAUUCAAAUUUCUGCCCUAUUAACUUUCGAUGGUAUGGUUUUGGCAUACCAUGGUGUCAAUGGGUAACGGGGAAUUAGGGUUCUAUUCCGGAGAGGGAGCCUGAGAAACGUAAGUGUUGCCCCCGUGUACCUUCUGAAAUAAUAUCUACUAACAUUCUUCUUAGGGCUACCACAUCCAAGGAAGGCAGCAGGCGCGCAAAUUACCCAAUCCCGACACGGGGAGGUAGUGACAAUAAAUACUGAUACAGGGCUCUUUUGGGUCUUGUAAUUGGAAUGAGUACAAUUUAAAUCCCUUAACGAGGAACAAUUGGAGGGCAAGUCUGGUGCCAGCAGCCGCGGUAAUUCCAGCUCCAAUAGCGUAUAUUAAAGUUGUUGCAGUUAAAAAGCUCGUAGUUGAACCUUGGGCCUGGCUGGCCGGUCCGCCUCACCGCGUGCACUGGUCCGGCCGGGCCUUUUCUUCUGGGGAGCCGCAUGCCCUUCACUGGGUGUGUCGGGGAACCAGGACUUUUACUUUGAAAAAAUUAGAGUGUUCAAAGCAGGCCUAUGCUCGAAUACAUUAGCAUGGAAUGAUAAAAUAUGCCAAAUGGUUCUAUUUUGUUGGUUUCUAGGACCGUUGGAAUGAUUAAUAGGGAUAGUCGGGGGCAUCAGUAUUCAACUGUCAGAGGUGAAAUUCUUGGAUUUGUUGAAGACUAACUACUGCGAAAGCAUUUGCCAAGGAUGUUUUCAUUAAUCAGUGAACGAAAGUUAGGGGAUCGAAGACGAUCAGAUACCGUCGUAGUCUUAACCAUAAACUAUGCCGACUAGGGAUCGGGCGAUGUUAUUUUUUUGACUCGCUCGGCACCUUACGAGAAAUCAAAGUCUUUGGGU
rnacentral:rRNA from 1 species